AUUGAACGCUGGCGGUAGGCCUAACACAUGCAAGUCGAACGCGAAAGUCCUUCGGGAUGAGUAGAGUGGCGGACGGGUGAGUAACGCGUAGGAAUCUAUCCUGUAGUGGGGGAUAACGUUUCGAAAGGAACGCUAAUACCGCAUACGCCCCAAGGGGGAAAGCGGGGGAUCUUCGGACCUCGUGCUAUAGGAGGAGCCUGCGUCGGAUUAGCUAGUUGGUGAGGUAAAGGCUCACCAAGGCGACGGUCCGUAGCUGGUCUGAGAGGAUGAUCAGCCACACCGGAAAUGAGACACGGUCCGGACUCCUACGGGAGGCAGCAGUGGGGAAUAUUGCGCAAUGGGCGAAAGCCUGACGCAGCCAUACCGCGUGUGUGAAGAAGGCCUUCGGGUUGUAAAGCACUCUCAGUGGGGAGGAAAAGCUGGUGGCUAAUAUCCAUCGGCCGUGACGCUACCCACAGAAGAAGCACCGGCUAAUUCCGUGCCAGCAGCCGCGGUAAUAC
rnacentral:rRNA from 1 species